CAACGGAUCUCUUGGUUCUGGCAUCGAUGAAGAACGCAGCGAAAUGCGAUAAGUAAUGUGAAUUGCAGAAUUCAGUGAAUCAUCGAAUCUUUGAACGCACAUUGCGCCCUUUGGUAUUCCGAAGGGCAUGCCUGUUCGAGCGUCAUU
rnacentral:rRNA from 1 species